rnacentral:rRNA from 1 species
GCAUAUCAAUAAGCGGAGGAAAAGAAACCAACAGGGAUUGCCCUAGUAACGGCGAAGUGAAGCGGCAACAGCUCAAAUUUGAAAUCUGGCUCUUUCAGAGUCCGAGUUGUAAUUUGCAGAGGGCGCUUUGGCUUUGGCAGCGGUCCAAGUUCCUUGGAACAGGACGUCACAGAGGGUGAGAAUCCCGUACGUGGUCGCUAGCUAUUGCCGUGUAAAGCCCCUUCGACGAGUCGAGUUGUUUGGGAAUGCAGCUCUAAAUGGGAGGUAAAUUUCUUCUAAAGCUAAAUACUGGCCAGAGACCGAUAGCGCACAAGUAGAGUGAUCGAAAGAUGAAAAGCACUUUGGAAAGAGAGUCAAACAGCACGUGAAAUUGUUGAAAGGGAAGCGCUUGCAGCCAGACUUGCUUGCAGUUGCUCAUCCGGGCUUUUGCCCGGUGCACUCUUCUGUAGGCAGGCCAGCAUCAGUUUGGGCGGUGGGAUAAAGGUCUCUGUCACGUACCUCCUUUCGGGGAGGCCUUAUAGGGGAGACGACAUACCACCAGCCUGGACUGAGGUCCGCGCAUCUGCUAGGAUGCUGGCGUAAUGGCUGUAAGCGGCCCGUCUUGAAACACGGACCAAGGAGUCUAACAUCUAUGCGAGUGUUUGGGUGUCAAGCCCGAGCGCGUAAUGAAAGUGAACGGAGGUGGGAACCCGCAAGGGCGCACCAUCGACCGAUCCUGAAGUUUACGGAAGGAUUUGAGUAAGAGCAUGGCUGUUGGGACCCGAAAGAUGGUGAACUAUGCUUGAAUAGGGUGAAGCCAGAGGAAAACUCUGGUGGAGGCUCGCAGCGGUUCUGACGUGCAAAUCGAUCGUCAAAUUUGGGCAUAGGGGCGAAAGACUAAUCGAACUAUCUAGUAGCUGGUUCCUGCCGAA